AACCUGGUUGAUCCUGCCAGUAGUCAUAUGCUUGUCUCAAAGACUAAGCCAUGCAUGUCUAAGUAUAAGUAUUAUACAGCGAAACUGCGAAUGGCUCAUUAAACAGUUAUAAUUUAUUUGAUAAUCGAAUUUACAUGGAUAACCGUGGUAAUUCUAGAGCUAAUACAUGCUGGUAGGCCCGACUUUUUGGAAGGGCGGUAUUUAUUAGAUAACAAACCAAUAUUCCUCUGGUCUAUUGUGGUGAAUCAUAAUAACUGAUCGAAUCGCAAGGUUUUUAACCGCGAUAAGUCAUUCAAGUUUCUGCCCCAUCAGCUUUCGAUGGUAGUGUAUUGGACUACCAUGGCUUUUACGGGUAACGGAGGAUUAGGGUUCGAUUCCGGAGAGGGAGCCUGAGAAACGGCUACCACAUCUAAGGAAGGCAGCAGGCGCGUAAAUUACCCAAUCCUGACUCAGGGAGGUAGUGAC
rnacentral:rRNA from 1 species